rnacentral:rRNA from 1 species
GACGAACGCUGGCGGCGUGCUUAACACAUGCAAGUCGAACGGUGAAGCGAGUGCUUGCACUCGUGGAUCAGUGGCGAACGGGUGAGUAACACGUGAGUAACCUGCCCAUCACUCUGGGAUAAGCACUGGAAACGGUGUCUAAUACUGGAUACGACCAACCCUUGCAUGGGGUGUUGGUGGAAAGAUUUAUCGGUGAUGGAUGGACUCGCGGCCUAUCAGCUUGUUGGCGGGGUAAUGGCCCACCAAGGCGACGACGGGUAGCCGGCCUGAGAGGGUGACCGGCCACACUGGGACUGAGACACGGCCCAGACUCCUACGGGAGGCAGCAGUGGGGAAUAUUGCACAAUGGGCGAAAGCCUGAUGCAGCGACGCCGCGUGAGGGAUGACGGCCUUCGGGUUGUAAACCUCUUUCAGCAGGGAAGAAGCGAAAGUAACGGUACCUGCAGAAGAAGCACCGGCUAACUACGUG